UACGGAGGAUCCGAGCGUUAUCCGGAUUUAUUGGGUUUAAAGGGUGCGCAGGCGGGAGAUUAAGUCGGCGGUGAAAUUUUGCAGCUCAACUGUAAAAGUGCCUUCGAAACUGGUUUCCUUGAGUGUAGAUGAAGUAGACGGAAUUUGUGGUGUAGCGGUGAAAUGCAUAGAUAUCACGAGGAACUCCGAUUGCGCAGGCAGCUUACUAAACUACUACUGACGCUCAGGCACGAAGGCGUGGGGAUCAAACAGGAUUAGAUACCCGUAGU
rnacentral:rRNA from 1 species